CAAGAAAACAAUUUUCAUGGUGUCAUAUCACCGGAAGGACAAUUACCUUAUCCUUGAUAAGAGCACAAAGCCCGAGCAACUACAAAUUUCUAUGACAAAUACAAUUGCGGGAGUUCCGAGGGGUUGCUCAGAAAAUCGACUUUAAUACUUGAGAUCACAUGGAAGUCCCAAGCAGAAAUCGCCGAAACCAUACAAAAUGAUAAGCAAUCUUUCUCGAAAAAGGAAAUCGUUUUCACCGUUUUCCGAGUGAAUUUCCCCUCGAGAAUUUCGUUGCGAAACUGAAUUGUAAUCUGUGUGCGAGUGCGGUCCAAGGAAAAUUUUGGAGAUCCAAUGUGCAAUUAAAUUAAAUGAGAUGUAUCGCAUUGCGAUUAAGUAAUUGCGGUUUAGACCACGGGCGUCGGUCUCGGAGUUCUACGCAGCCAGCGACGACUAUCCAGUCACUAAAGUGGCACACUGGAAGAUACCAGGUAGAAGGUCCGACCUCCGGCAAAGGACAUGAGGGUAAUAAAAGCGACGCCACGUACGAACAAAGGCAAUCGAGACGGAUAUACAAAAACCACUAAGGAACAUAAUCGUCCAUUAAGCACGUACUGAGGAUAACCGCAGGGUAUUUAAGUUUCUUCCCUUCUAAAGUCGUAAUACAAAAUCAUUAAUUGUUGUUUAAUUAAUUUUAAGCGUGAUCGCUCUAUAUUGAUCAUUUCAUCGUAGGGAAUUGGAGCAAUCGACAGGAAUGUUAUUAUUGAAACUGUUCAAUUGUCAAGCUACGUACGUAUAUAUACAGUGAACCGACGGAUGUAUAACUUUUUUAAUUGUUAAUGUAGAACUCACAUAUUUAACGGAAGGAUCUCCCAGUUCUUCGCUGUUAUACAAUGACAAUCACCAUAUUAUGAAAACUUUACUUUUAUUCAUGUUAGAUAUAUCAGUUCGUCUAGGGAAUCAUAUAAAAGGUCACCGAUGAAAAUGA
rnacentral:lncRNA from 1 species